rnacentral:tRNA from 1 species
GAGGGGAUAGCUCAGUGGCAGAGUGUGUGCUUGGCAUGCAUGAGAUCCCGGGUUCAAUCCCCAGUGCCUCCA